UACGAAGGGGGCUAGCGUUGUUCGGAAUUACUGGGCGUAAAGCGCGCGCAGGCGGCCUUUCAAGUCAGGGGUGAAAGCCCGGAGCUCAACUCCGGAAUUGCCCUUUGAAACUGUCAGGCUCGAGUACGGGAGAGGUGAGUGGAAUUCCCAGUGUAGAGGUGAAAUUCGUAGAUAUUGGGAAGAACACCGGUGGCGAAGGCGGCUCACUGGCCCGUUUCUGACGCUCAGGCGCGACAGCGUGGGGAUCGAAACAAGG
rnacentral:rRNA from 1 species